UACGUAGGGUGCAAGCGUUGUCCGGAAUUAUUGGGCGUAAAGAGCUCGUAGGCGGUUUGUCGCGUCUGCUGUGAAAACUCGGGGCUUAACCCCGGGUCUGCAGUCGAUACGAGCAAACUAGAGUGUUGCAGGGGAGACUGGAAUUCCUGGUGUAGCGGUGAAAUGCGCAGAUAUCAGGAGGAACACCGGUGGCGAAGGCGGGUCUCUGGGCAACAACUGACGCUGGAGGAGCGAAAGCGUGGGGAGCGAACAGG
rnacentral:rRNA from 1 species